GUUAAAUCGGAUUGUAUUUGGAAGUUAAAUGUAAUAAGUAUUUGGGAUGUAAAAUGUAUGAAUGUGAAUGUAUGUAAUAACAUAGGAUGUGUUAUGUUGUUUGAUACCUUCCAUUAUGCAAUCUUUGAUUGAAAUGUGUUUCUGGUUGGAAUUUUGUACAUUAUAUUGAUUGCGACGCCUUGAAUGUACAGGGGAGACUCUGUCCGCGGUACAGAAAAAAUCCUGUCCGUUCGGCGGUCUGUUGCGGCGCCGCGACCCUGCCAAAUAGGCGGGCGGUCGCGGGGCGUG
rnacentral:lncRNA from 1 species